UCGGGAAUUUUGGGCAAUGGGCGAAAGCCUGACCCAGCAACGCCGCGUGAAGGAUGAAGUAUUUCGGUAUGUAAACUUCGAAAGAAUAGGAAGAAUUAAUGACGGUACUAUUUAUAAGGUCCGGCUAACUACGUGCCAGCAGCCGCGGUAAUACGUAGGGACCAAGCGUUGUUCGGAUUUACUGGGCGUAAAGGGCGCGUAGGCGGCGCUGUAAGUCACUUGUGAAAUCUCCGAGCUUAACUCGGAACGGUCAAGUGAUACUGCAGUGCUAGAGUGCGGAAGGGGCAAUCGGAAUUCUUGGUGUAGCGGUGAAAUGCGUAGAUAUCAAGAGGAACACCUGAGGUGAAGACGGGUUGCUGGGCCGACACUGACGCUGACAGCGCGAAAGCCAGGGGAGCAAACGGGAUUAGAUACCCCCGUAGUCC
rnacentral:rRNA from 1 species